GGCAGACGGGUGAGUAACGCGUGGGAACGUGCCCUUCAGUUCGGAAUAACCCAGGGAAACUUGGGCUAAUACCGGAUACGUGCGAGAGCAGAAAGAUUUAUCGCUGAAGGAUCGGCCCGCGUCUGAUUAGCUAGUUGGUGGGGUAAUGGCCCACCAAGGCGACGAUCAGUAGCUGGUCUGAGAGGAUGAUCAGCCACAUUGGGACUGAGACACGGCCCAAACUCCUACGGGAGGCAGCAGUGGGGAAUAUUGGACAAUGGGCGCAAGCCUGAUCCAGCCAUGCCGCGUGAGUGAUGAAGGCCUUAGGGUUGUAAAGCUCUUUCGUCCGGGACGAUAAUGACGGUACCGGAAGAAGAAGCCCCGGCUAACUUCGUGCCAGCAGCCGCGGUAAUACGAAGGGGGCUAGCGUUGUUCGGAAUCACUGGGCGUAAAGGGCGCGUAGGCGGCUUUAUAAGUCGGGGGUGAAAUCCUGCGGCUUAACCGCAGGGCUGCCUUCUAAACUGUCAGGCUCGAGCACAGUAGAGGCAGGUGGAAUUCCCGGUGUAGCGGUGGAAUGCGUAGAGAUCGGGAAGAACAUCAGUGGCGAAGGCGGCCUGCUGGGCUGUUGCUGACGCUGAGGCGCGACAGCGUGGGGAGCAAACAGGAUUAGAUACCCUGGUAGUCC
rnacentral:rRNA from 1 species